AUACAAUCACUCUUUUUUGCUUCCGCUUCUAUACCAUCGUCUCUUAUGGCAUUAUCGAUCAGGGGAAACAUUGCAAAAAUUUCAUUUAUUAAACAUAGUGGAUGUUCAAAUAUGAAAAUAGAGAAAAUUUCUCUGCAUUUACAGAGUAUGAAAAAAGCUAUAUUUUUUCAAAAAAAAUAUAAUAAGAAUUCUGCCUUAUCAACCGCAAAGGUAUACCUUUUCUGUCUCUUAAGUCGGUAAAGUAUUAUUACUUCUUAGUGCAGUAAUCUUUUUU